AUGAAGGCGGCGCUGCGGAGCCGGCAGGAGCCGCGGCGGGUCAGCAACGGCGUCAUCAUCGCCGCCAUGCUCCUCUCCCUCUGCGUCCUCAGCAUCGUCAAGGCCAGAUACUGCUCCACGCCCUUCGGGAAGCCGGACGACCAGCUCAAGGAGCAGAUGAACUCCAGCAUCCGGAUGGAGACCGACGACGAGCCGGCGCCCGCCGCCACCACGGUCGGAGGUUCGGAGGAAGAUGUGGAGGAGGAUGUGGAGGACGACAGCGCCGCCCCGGUGCCCAAGGUCACCGCGGAGAGGGCGGAGAAGACAGCCGUCUCCGUCUCCGGCGCCGGCACAGGAAAAAAGGAUAAGGAUAAGGGGAGGCACAAGAAGAAGAAGCCGACCUGCUUCAUGACGAGCAAGCGCUCGGAGCGGUGCGAGGCGGCGGGGGACAUCCGGGUGGUGGGCAACGUCUCCACCAUCUACAUCGACUCGCUGGACAGGGAGUGGCGGACCAAGCCGUACGCGCGGUACCACGACCCCGUCGCCAUGACCCACGUCCGGGAGUUCGUCCUCAAACCCUUCCCGUCCGACGCGCCGCCGCCGGCCUGCACCAAGAACCACUCCGUCCCCGGGUUUGUGUUUUCCAACCGCGGCUUCUCCGGCAACCUCUACCACGACUACACGGACGUGCUGGUGCCGCUCUUCCUCAGCACGCGCAGGUUCAACGGCGAGGUGCAGUUCCUGCUCAGCGACCUCAAGCCCUGGUGGGUGGCCAAGUUCCGGCCGCUGUUCCGGCAGCUCAGCAGGUACGAGGUGGUGGACGUGAACAACGACCUGGAGGUGCACUGCGUGCCCCGCAUCGUCGUCGGCUCCGACUUCCACAAGGACAUGGGCAUCGUCCCGUCCAAGGCCGCCGGCGGCGUCUCCAUCGUCGACUUCAAGCGCACCCUCCGCGACGCCUUCGGGCUGGAGCGCGCGGCGGCCUCCCGCGGCGGCGCCACGGGCGCCGGCAAGCCGCGCCUCCUCAUCAUCUCCCGCAAGAACUCGCGCCGGUUCCUCAACGAGCGGGAGAUGGCGGCCGCCGCCGCCGCCAUGGGCUUCGACGUGCGCAUCGCGGAGCCCGACCAGCACACCGACAUGUCCACCUUCGCGCGGCUCGUCAACUCGGCGGACGUGAUGGUGGGCGUGCACGGCGCCGGGCUCACCAACAUGGUGUUCCUCCCCGCGGGGGCCGUGCUGAUCCAGGUGGUGCCGUUCGGCGGGCUGGAGUGGCUCACCGGCGUGACCUUCAAGAACCCGGCGGCGGACAUGGAGGUGACGUACAUGGACUACAACGUGCAGCUGGAGGAGAGCUCGCUGCUGGAGCAGUACCCGCGGAACCACCAGGUGCUGACGGACCCCUACGCCGUGCACAAGCAGGGGUGGGACGCGCUCAAGGCGGCCUACCUGGACAAGCAGAACGUGCGGCUGGAUCUGGACAAGUUCAAGGCCACGCUCCGGGACGCGCUCAGCCGGCUGCCGCCGGCGUCGACCCCGGCGGCCUGA
rnacentral:rRNA from 1 species